rnacentral:rRNA from 1 species
AACGAACGCUGGCGGCAUGCCUAACACAUGCCAGUCGAACGAGACCUUCGGGUCUAGUGGCGCACGGGUGCGUAACACGUGGGAACCUGCCCUUAGGUUCGGAAUAACUCCCCGAAAGGGGUGCUAAUACCGGAUAAUGUCUUCGGACCAAAGAUUUAUCGCCUUUGGAUGGGCCCGCGUUGGAUUAGCUAGUUGGUAGGGUAAAAGCCUACCAAGGCGACGAUCCAUAGCUGGUCUGAGAGGAUGAUAAGCCACACUGGGACUGAGACACGGCCCAGACUCCUACGGGAGGCAGCAGUGGGGAAUAUUGGACAAUGGGCGAAAGCCUGAUCCAGCAAUGCCGCGUGAGUGAUGAAGGCCUUAGGGUUGUAAAGCUCUUUUACCCGGGAUGAUAAUGACAGUACCGGGAGAAUAAGCUCCGGCUAACUCCGUG